rnacentral:tRNA from 12 species
UAAUGGCUCAGUCGGUAGAGUGGUGGCCUGCUAAGCCGAAAUUUUGGUGUUCA